CGGAGGAUAAGGUCCUGGAACAUUAGGGGCAGAGGGUACACCAGGCUGAGCUCCAAACGAUGUUGGUGGUCGUGCUCGUCCCGGAAACUGAACAGGUGGUCCCUUGGAUGUGUCAAGGUACUCACUUGGUAACCGUAGCUCAUCCUGCCUGCUCGAGAGUUGAUCUGUCACAGAAUAAAAGAACCUGCACACACAGAACGCUAAAUUACUAACUUCCUCUACGCCGUGCUGCCGUGGGGGACUUGGCAAACGAACUCUACAUGGAUUAUUGCCGGGGUGAAAUUGCAAAGCGCUAUCGCACAAUAACCGAGUUUACAGCAAGCAAUUAUAUCGUUUAUUCGCAAGCGUGACACGUGUCACGCGCAAUAUGUCAGAAGUCGAGAGAGAGGU